UACGUAGGGUGCGAGCGUUGCCCGGAUUUAUUGGGCGUAAAGGGCGCGUAGGCGGCCACGCACGUCCGUUGUGAAAUCGCCCGGCUCAACUGGGCGGGGUCAGCGGAUACGGUGUGGCUCGAGCAAGCUAGGGGGCAAUGGAAUUCCCGGUGUAGUGGUGGAAUGCGUAGAUAGUCGGGAGGAACACCAGUGGCGAAGGCGGUUGGCCUGGAGCUUUGCUGACGCU
rnacentral:rRNA from 1 species